GGUGUAUGUCAAACUAGUGUGUGUAUGUGUGUAUGUAUGUGUGUAUGUGUGUGUGUGUUCAGAAGAUAUGCUGGAAACAUUUUUCACAUUGUUCACCUGUGUAACAGGUGUGAGUGAAACAGGUGUGAGGCUUACAUGGUGGAGUGAGACAGGUAUAGGGGAUGAACAUGCUUUGGUUGUAGUGAGACAGGUGUGAGACAGGAAUGAGAGGUACAUGGUGGAGGAGUGAGACAGGUAUAGGGGCUGAACAUGCUGUGGUCGUAGUGAGACAGGAAUGAGACGUACAUGGUGGAGGAGUGAGACAGGUAUAGGGGCUGAACCUGCUGUGGUCGUAGUGAGACAGGUGUGAGAAAGGAAUGAGGCGUACAUGGUGGAGGAGUGAGACAGGUAUAGGGGCUGAACCUGCUGUGGUCGUAGUGAGACAGGUGGGAGACGUACUUGGUGGAGGAGUGGGCCUGGUGUACUUGCUGAACCCGCUGUGGUCGUAGCGGCAGCAGUAGAUAUCCUCGGAAUCUGAAGUGCUGGUGUUGAGCUGAAAGUCGGCGUACGAGCGCCCUGUGUCAAACUGUACCAAGAGUUUGAGUGUGCGCACGUGGUAGAGCUCAAACACUCGGCCACUGUGACCCUGGGGGGCUAGACACCGUAACACCACGCCUGAGGACACAUCUGAGGACACCUGCACCAGCUGUGGAUAGCCAGGAUUCUCCGGAUCCAAAGCUCCGCCUGCUGCUUAAUGAGAGACAAUAAGAAUUCUGGUAUAAUUCUACAAUAGAUCAGUAAACUGUUCUCAUGGACACCUGUCUCAUUCUCUUUACUACAGCCUGAUGUCCAGUUCAGAGGACUACUGAUAAAACUGCAAACUAUUCUCCAGUAAAAUUUUCUUCAACUGAUUGCAUCACUUGACUCCUGGUCUUCAGUGAUCAUAUCUGGU
ensembl:lncRNA